rnacentral:rRNA from 1 species
CACCAGACUCCUACGGGAGGCAGCAGUCGGGAAUAUUGCGCAAUGGAGGAAACUCUGACGCAGUGACGCCGCGUGCAGGAAGAAGGUUUUCGGAUUGUAAACUGCUUUAGACAGGGAAGAAAAAAGACAGUACCUGUAGAAUAAGCCCCGGCUAACUACGUGCCAGCAGCCGCGGUAAUACGUAGGGGGCAAGCGUUAUCCGGAUUUACUGGGUGUAAAGGGAGCGUAGACGGCAGUGCAAGUCCGGAGUGAAAGCCCGGGGCUCAACCCUGGGACUGCUCUGGAAACUGUAAAGCUGGAGUGCGGGAGGGGCAGGCGGAAUUCCUGGUGUAGCGGUGAAAUGCGUAGAUAUCAGGAGGAACACCGGCGGCGAAGGCGGCCUGCUGGGCCGUAACUGACGUUGAGGCUCGAAAGCGUGGGGAGCAAACAGGAUUAGAUACCCUCGUAAA